rnacentral:rRNA from 1 species
AUUGAACGCUGGCGGCAGGCUUAACACAUGCAAGUCGAGCGGGGGAAGGUAGCUUGCUACCGGACCUAGCGGCUGACGGGUGAGUAAUGCUUAGGAAUCUGCCUAUUAGUGGGGGACAACAUCUCGAAAGGGAUGCUAAUACCGCAUACGUCCUACGGGAGAAAGCAGGGGAUCUUCGGACCUUGCGCUAAUAGAUGAGCCUAAGUCGGAUUGGCUAGUUGGUGGGGUAAAGGCCUACCAAGGCGACGAUCUGUAGCGGGUCUGAGAGGAUGAUCCGCCACACUGGGACUGAGACACGGCCCAGACUCCUACGGGAGGCAGCAGUGGGGAAUAUUGGACAAUGGGGGGAUCCCUGAUCCAGCCAUGCCGCGUGUGUGAAGAAGGCCUUAUGGUUGUAAAGCACUUUAAGCGAGGAGGAGGCUACUCUAGUUAAUACCUAGGGGUAGUGGACGUUACUCGCAGAAUAAGCACCGGCUAACUCUGUGCCAGCAGCCGCAGUAA